AACGUAGGAGACAAACGUUAUCCGGAGUUACUGGGCGUAAAGAGCGUGUAGGCGGCUCGAUAAGUCCGCUGUGAAAGUCCAGGGCUCAACCCUGGAAGGCCGGUGGAAACUGUCGGGCUAGAGUCCGGAAGAGGCGAGUGGAAUUCCCGGUGUAGCGGUGAAAUGCGCAGAUAUCGGGAGGAACACCAGUGGCGAAGGCGGCUCACUGGCCCGGUACUGACGCUGAGAUACGAAAGCGUGGGGAGCAAACAGG
rnacentral:rRNA from 1 species